rnacentral:rRNA from 1 species
GACGGGGGGGGCAAGUGUUCUUCGGAAUUACUGGGCGUAAAGCGUGCGCAGGCGGUGUGUCGCGUCGGCCGUGAAAACCUGCAGCUUAACUGUGGGCUUGCGGUCGAUACGGGCAUCACUGGAGUUCGGCAGGGGAGACUGGAAUUCCUGGUGUAGCGGUGAAAUGCGCAGAUAUCAGGAGGAACACCGGUGGCGAAGGCGGGUCUCUGGGCCGAUACUGACGCUGAGGAGCGAAAGCGUGGGUAGCAAACAGG